rnacentral:ncRNA from 1 species
GAUAGGCACCUGUCGCUACGGUGAUUGGACACUGACGCAGAGUCAACUAGCCUUGGUCAGGUGGUCCCUGCGCCGCUGCGCGGGAUCCCCGGACGGUCCGAGCCAUGAGGGGGGAGGCUCGGACCGUCCGGC